rnacentral:rRNA from 1 species
AAGUCUGGUGCCAGCAGCCGCGGUAAUUCCAGCUCCAAUAGCGUAUAUUAAAGUUGUUGCAGUUAAAAAGCUCGUAGUUGAAUUUCGGGGUUAGUAGGUUGGUCAUGCCUCUGGUAUGUACUGAUCUCACUGAUUCCUCCUUCCUUAUGAACCGUAAUGCCAUUAAUUUGGUGUUGCGGGGAAUUUGGACUGUUACUUUGAAAAAAUUAGAGUGUUUAAAGCAGGCUAACGCUUGAAUACAUUAGCAUGGAAUAAUGAAAUAGGACGUUCGAUCUUAUUUUGUUGGUUUCUAGGAUUGACGUAAUGAUUAAUAGGGAUAGUUGGGGGCAUUAGUAUUCAAUUGUCAGAGGUGAAAUUCUUGGAUUUAUUGAAGACUAACUACUGCGAAAGCAUUUGCCAAGGAUGUUUUCAUUAAUCAAGAACGAAAGUUAGGGGAUCGAAGACGAUCAGGUACCGUCGUAGUCUUAACCAUAAACUAUGCCGACUAGGGAUCGGAUGAUGUUAAUUUUUUAAUGACUCAUUCGGCGCCUUACGGGAAACCAAAGUGUUUGGGU